UAGAUGAGAAUGUGGCAAUAUUAGCAUUAUAUCCAACACUUGAUAUGAGGGAUUUGUUUCCAAGUGACUGCUACUUUUUUUUUUCUUCUGAAUCUAU